rnacentral:rRNA from 1 species
GACGAACGCUGGCGGCGUGCCUAAUACAUGCAAGUCGAGCGGGUCUGCUUUGGUAGUUUACUAUUGAGGCAGGCCAGCGGCGGACGGGUGAGUAACGCGUGGGCAACCUGCCCUGUAGUCUGGGAUAACAGGUCGAAAGGCCUGCUAAUACCGGAUGAGCUUAGCAUCUCGCAUGGGGUGUAAGGGAAGGGGGAACCCGCUACAGGAUGGGCCCGCGUCCCAUUAGCUAGUUGGUGAGGUAACGGCUCACCAAGGCGACGAUGGGUAGCCGGCCUGAGAGGGCGACCGGCCACACUGGGACUGAGACACGGCCCAGACUCCUACGGAGGCAGCAUG